UGUGUAGGCGGGAUAGCAAGUCAGAGGUGAAAUCCUACAGCUCAACUGUAGAACUGCCUUUGAUACUGUUAUUCUUGAGUAUCGGAGAGGUCGCUGGAAUUCGUGGUGUAGCGGUGAAAUGCGUAGAUAUCACGAGGAACACCAGAGGCGUAGGCGGGCGACUGGACGAUUACUGACGCUGAGGCACGAAAGCGUGGGGAGCGAACAGGAUUAGAUACCCUGGUAGUCC
rnacentral:rRNA from 1 species